CCAGAAGGGGGCAGUAGAUCCCCCAGCUGAGUCUGAAGUUACAUAGGCAGCCGUGAGCCACCAGAUGUGGGUGCUAGGAACUGAACGUGGGUGCUCUGGAAGAGCAGCAAAGGCUCUACACUGCUGAGCCAUUAUCUCUCCAGUCCCAUCAAGAAAUCUUUUAUCUGCUUAUAGCCUCUGACUCAUCAUCCAAUCAUACGCCAUUAACAACUUUAGCCCUUAAUUCGUCAGCCAUCUGUUGUGUGCCAGGCACAGCCCCGUGUACUGGGGUUUCAGUUCAAGAAUGAGAAAGGCAAGGCUUUGCUCUUACUGAACUCUAGUUCACCAAGUUAUAUCUGGUCUCGCUGGACUUAUGAGAUAGGCAGCAAUAUAGUGCGAUUAGUCCUCUGAACUCCAGCCAGCUAACCUCAUUUCCCGCACGCUUUCAUUUGUCUGUUAUAUGUACUGAACUACAGCAAAGCAAGCCUCCCUUCCAACAGUUGCCCAGUGCUUUCGGAGAUCAGGAGAAGGCCUGAUAAGAGCAGGGUGGGGUAUAUAUGAACACACAACUUUCCAAAGUCUGGUUUACCAAUGUCUUCUGUUCUAUCACCUCUGCUUCUUUAACACUACUUGGGUAGCACAUGAAUUCUAACUUACAGCCAUACAAAAUAGGAAUUUAGGAGAUGGACAUGUAUGUGGCACUUUGGGAGAAUGUGGCCUUCCCGAGCCAUUCACAUCCCUGUAAGGUAACCCUAGUGAACUCAUUGACUUAUAACAUGGACGUGUGGGGGUUGUUCCUUGGGCGGUGGGUGCCAUCUUCUUUCUUUCACAUUUCCCUGGGAAAGUCAGACAACAAAAAUAAACAGGUGGCCAAAGCGAUAUCAGGAGAGACAGUCUCUGAGGAGGACGGGGAGGUGGGAGAAUGUGAGUGGAUACCUGCCCCUACAGCUUCCUUAGGGUAAUUGCAUAAUCAUUUCCCUGUCUUUGGGAAUAGAUAAUAUUAGUACAUUUAUAUCAUGUCUCCUGAAUGAGUAUGGAAUCCAUUUUUUUGUUUUUGUUUCUUUUUUUCUACUGAGGAUGGGUUAGUAAGUAGAGUCAGUUUGUCUGAAAGCCUUUUUUAGGGACUUUUCUGGCUCAAGCCUAUUCAAGAAGAUAACUGUGUGUUAGUAUGAGGCUCACUCUUUUUCAAUGAGAUGUACUGAUGUUUAAUCCUCGUCGAGCUAUGAGUAAGUUCCUGUUUUCAUCAACUUACAGCUUCUGUCCCCUUAACCUUCAGUUGCUAGGUUAGAGUGGCCCACAGACUUUAAAAUAAUCUCUAUGUAGGGGACAAAUUAUCCUGUUUUUUUCUGCCUGUAUCAGGAACAGAGGCUCACUGGCUCAAAAUGCCCAGAAUCUUGACUGUCCAGACCCAAAGCAGAAGCUGAGAGGAAUGCAGAUCACACGAGGAGAACACCUACACAUCGUGUGUAGUCAGGAAAAAGGAGCGAGUGGGAUCCUGUAGCCAGGACCUUAAUGCCAGCAUGUAUCCACCACUGUGAGGACAUCAACGAGCAGAGUGACCUAUGGAUGGACACCAAAACUCAUCUGCCUUGAACCUCAAGACCCCUGGCAUGGAAAACAUUGGCAGAUCUAAACUUUUCUCUUCUCUACAGUCUGUGCCCAAUAUGGCUGGAACAAUGACUCACAUAAUCCAUGUGUUUGACUGUGGUGGUGGCCUUUUAUUCAACAAACCUUUUGUAGAUUUCGCAUCUGCAAAGAAGAAAUCAGCAGAGUAAAGAAAAUUUCAAACACAAAAAUGUCUCCUUCUGAAAGAGUGUCAUCCCAGACCCCUGCAGAGAAGAAAACAAUAGCCAAAUCUCUAGCUCCUUCUUCUACCAAGUGAAAAGGUGAUGUAGUCAUGGCAACAGAAUCUUUUGAUGGAUCUAUUUCUUUUAGAGGAAAAGAAACUCUGGAAAAUUCACAGAGACAAAUUAGGUCUGAGAAACUGCUGGAAGGCAGAGAAGGUGCAUAGGUGGGCGUAACCAGUACCAACAGAAAAGACAAGAAAAGCCGACACAGUGGACACGAGUCUCUCUCUCUCAUGGUGUAUGUGACUGGCCUUAAGUUCUUGCUGCUUUGACCUCCAUCUAGAGAUGGAUUGUGACCUGGAAUCCUGAACUCAAGGAAAGCCUUUCUCCUGGGAAGGUGAGAUGGGGCAAGAAACCACACCACUUCAUACAUGCCUCAACUCCUCUUAGACCUGCUAAAAAGUGGUGGUUACAGAAACUGGAGCCUCUAUUUGCUUCCAGAAAUGUCCUGCUAAGCCCUCAGCUGACACCGCCUACCAAGGAUCAGGUCUUCAGGCAUGGAGAACUUCCCUCUCACAAAACCCUUGAGAACAAGGCAACAGAAGGAAGAAGCCAGCACAAGUGUAGGAGGCAGCGUGUAGCUCCACGAGAGCAGUGCCAGGACCCCAGCUCAUAGAAUUGGUGAUGUCCAGAAUGAAGAUGGGUCCUCCCUCCUCAGUGAACUUCCUCUAUACAACCCCUUACAGGCACAGCCAGACUUUUGUCUUCUAGCUGAUUCUAGAUCCCAACAAAUUGCCAACAUCGUCCAUCACAGCUGGAUUCAUGGACACUGGAGAAGAUUCACAGACAUUUUAAAGAUGGCAUCACAAUCUGAGGCUAGUUCUGCAUUCGAUUUCAGGCUUCUCUAACCUUCUGAUACUGUGACACAGCAAUGCCAGCUACCAAGUUUAUGCUCAAGAACCAAGAAAUGAAGAUUUAAAAAAAAAUUGUAUUGUAGAGGCUGAGGAGAUGGCUCAGAGGGUAAAUGUAGCCAUCACUCUUCAUCAAAAAGGAAGCAUCUCUCUAAAGCCAAUGGAGACCAUGACUGGACACAAUGCAGAGAUCAAUGGAUUAUGGCUCACCCAACCCCAGUGAAUAUGCCUGCAGCACAGCUCAGGCACCUGUGGCUCAGGGAACAUCAUGGAAGAGGCCUGGGAAGACUGUAAGAGCCAGAGGACCAGAAAGUCUAAAGUAUGCUGUGCAACGUAAUAAGCCAGAAAGGGGGAAAGCUCACAGGUCCCCACCCCUAGACAAGGAACAACAGGCAGCUAAUGACUGCUAAGAGAAUGAGAAUUAGCCUCUCCCAGGGCGAGCUCCCUGACUGGUCAUCCUGGUCAGCCCUGAAACCAUAUACGCACUACGAAAGCAGGCACAGCAGGUUGUAUUUAUAUAUUUGUUCAUAUAUGUGUGCUGCGUGUUACAAUGCCAGUCAAAGAAAAAGAGGCUAUCAGUUUGAGAGUUGGGGGGACAUUGGAGAGAUUGGAGGGAGGAAAGGGAAGGGUGAUGAAAUGAGAUUUGAAUUAAAAAGGUAAAAAGAGUAAAAUGCACUAAAUAUGAUUUUUUUUUUAAAAAAAGCUCUUUUGUGCAGUGAGCAGGAGUCCACAAUGGUGGGCAACCAGAGCCAGGGGCCACAGCUUGGCCAGUAGAGAGACUGAGGAUAGAUAGACAGAGGCAGAGAGCCUGGAGAAGGGGCUUGGGAUAUAUGAGAAUAGCCAGUCAGUAUGGCUGAGGCUCACAGCUCCUGUAGGCUCCCAACCACAUGGGGGACAGUGAGGCUGAAGAAUAGACUGAGAGUCACAAGAUGGAUUAAACCAUUUGUUGCCUCCUGUUCUAGCCCUGAACUGGUGGAUAGCAUCUUCCCCCCACCAAAAAAAAAACAAACCAAAAAACAAAAACAAACAAACAAACAAACAAAAACCUCCCUGGUGAUUGAAUCCUCCUUCCCUGACUUCCAGAGGAUCUGAGAGUAAAACCUGAGUCAUUAUUAUCAAAGCAGCUGGAAACGAUUCAAGGUUGUGAAAGCAGCCACCAUUAAUGCGGGUGGGAGUGAGUGGUCUGUCCGAGCGUUUGGGGCAGAGGAUUCGUGCAGGGGAGGUGAGCCCAAGUGCUGUCCGAACCUGUCGGUUAUUUAAAAAGCCCCGCAGGUGUUUCACCUACCUGUCUGCUAAGUAGCCAAUCCCCACAGCGCCGAUGAAAAAGCCCACAUUCACCACCGCCUGAAAGAGGUCCAGCAUCCAGGAGUGAGCACAAACCAGGUUAAACUGUCCAGAUGUGGGGUGUAGGCCGAGCCGGGGCAGAGGAAGGGCACAGGGAGAGAGGAAGAAAAUGCUGUUAGAAUCUCCUUAGACACGGUUGAGCUCAGCUCUCUGAAUGGUCCUAACUGGGAGUUCCUGGGAGCCCAGGGGUCCAGUUGA